rnacentral:rRNA from 1 species
UACGGGGGGGGCAAGCGUUGUUCGGAAUUACUGGGCGUAAAGGCUCGUAGGCGGCCAACUAAGUCGGAUGUGAAAUCCCCAGGCUUAACCUGGGAACUGCAUCCGAUACUGGAUGGCUUGAAUCCGGGAGAGGAUGCGGAAUUCCAGGUGUAGCGGUGAAAUGCGUAGAUAUCUGGAGGAACACCGGUGGCGAAGGCGGCAUCCUGGACCGGCAUUGACGCUGAGGAGCGAAAGCCAGGGGAGCAAACGGG